rnacentral:lncRNA from 1 species
GUUAUAUCUAUAAAUUCAAUGCCUAAAAUUCCUACCACAAAUCUUUAUAGAUGGAUGCUUGGUGGACACUAGUUGUGGACCCCCCUUUUUCUUUCCCAAACUGUCAGACUCCAAGUCUCCAGCUUUCGUGAGGGAUGCAUGAAACCGACAAAUGAAGUUGAAUUUGCAGAAAUUAGCCUAGUAAUAAUGGAUGAAAUUCAAUAUGUACAUACAAACAUCCCAAAAGGGGAAUUUGAAUUUGCAGGCUUGCCAU